rnacentral:tRNA from 2 species
GGGCCUGUGACCUAAUUGGCAAAGGUGCGCGGCUUAGACCCGCGUCAUGGGGGUUCGAAUCCUCUCAGGCCCA